UACGGGGGGGGCAAGCGUUGUUCGGAAUUACUGGGCGUAAAGGGCGCGUAGGCGGCCUUCUAAGUCGGACGUGAAAUCCCUCGGCUUAACCGAGGAACUGCGUCCGAUACUGAAAGGCUUGAAUCCGGGAGAGGGAUGUGGAAUUCCAGGUGUAGCGGUGAAAUGCGUAGAUAUCUGGAGGAACACCAAUUGCGAAGGCAGCUCGCUGGGACGUUACUGACGCUGAGACGCGAAAGCGUGGGGAGCAAACAGG
rnacentral:rRNA from 1 species